GAUGAACGCUGGCGGCGUGCCUAAUACAUGCAAGUCGAGCGAACAGAUGAGGAGCUUGCUCCUCUGACGUUAGCGGCGGACGGGUGAGUAACACGUGGAUAACCUACCUAUAAGACUGGGAUAACUUCGGGAAACCGGAGCUAAUACCGGAUAAUAUAUUGAACCGCAUGGUUCAAUAGUGAAGGACGGUUUUGCUGUCACUUAUAGAUGGAUCCGCGCCGCAUUAGCUAGUUGGUAAGGUAACGGCUUACCAAGGCAACGAUGCGUAGCCGACCUGAGAGGGUGAUCGGCCACACUGGAACUGAGACACGGUCCAGACUCCUACGGGAGGCAGCAGUAGGGAAUCUUCCGCAAUGGGCGAAAGCCUGACGGAGCAACGCCGCGUGAGUGAUGAAGGUCUUCGGAUCGUAAAACUCUGUUAUUAGGGAAGAACAAAUGUGUAAGUAACUAUGCACGUCUUGACGGUACCUAAUCAGAAGGCCACGGCUAACUACGUG
rnacentral:rRNA from 1 species